UACGGGGGGGGCAAGCGUUGUUCGGAAUUGCUGGGCGUAAAGGGCUCGUAGGCGGCCAACUAAGUCGGAUGUGAAAUCCCCAGGCUUAACCUGGGAACUGCAUCCGAUACUGGAUGGCUUGAAUUCGGGAGAGGGAUGCAGAAUUCCAGGUGUAGCGGUGAAAUGCGUAGAUAUCUGGAGGAAUACCGGUGGCGAAGGCGGCAUCCUGGACCGAGAUUGACGCUGAUGAGCGAAAGCUAGGGGAGCAAACGGG
rnacentral:rRNA from 1 species